UAAUUGCGUGCGCGUGAGGGAUAGAAGCGGUAUCCUUUUGUGAAGCGACAGCGGAACAAAAGAUAUAGCGGAUAGCCCGACGGCUU
rnacentral:sRNA from 2 species